rnacentral:rRNA from 1 species
ACCGGUGGUUACAGCAGAGGUGUCCCACCCGAUCCCAUUCCGAACUCGGCCGUUAAACCCACUCGCGCCUAUGAUACUUUGUCUUAAGACACGGGAAAGUCGGUCGCCGCCGGUU